CGGGGCGAAAAUUUAAAUUCUUUGAACCGUUCACACACCGACCCAGGCUUUAUAACCUUGUCUCCCCAUCAUCAACUAACGAAUUAAUUAAUAUUUUUCUUUUUUUAUAAAUAUUUUAUUCGCUAGCGUAAUAUACCACCACCUGUGCUCUCCAUUUACUUCUCCUUCGCAUCAACCAGAAAACCAGAAUUUUCCCACACAAACACAAAGCGUUCUGGUUCUGCGUCUUCUUCACGCUGUUCGAGGCGGCAUCUCUGAAUCCGGAUCCUAACUGUUUCGACCGGGCCUAUUCUUCGCUUCUCCAGAUCUGCUUCAGGUAACCUUCUCAAUCUCUCAAUUUCUUGCGCUUUUUGUAAUUUUAUUUAAUUGUUUUUUGUUUUUUAUUUAUUGGUAUACUUGUUUGUAUUCGUAUAAGUAUAUUAUAAGUAGGUUUAGCUUUCCGCUUAGAUCUAUGGCUGGGUACUGAAGGUUGUUUCAUGGUAGAGUUAGUAUUGUUUAUGGCCUCUAUUAUGCGCUUUUGUGUUUUUCCUAGGAAAUUUUAUGUUCAGUUCUCUGAUCUGCGCUUGCUGAAGGCUUCAUAUGAUCUUGUUAUGUUUAAUUAUGUUUGUGAUUAGCCAUUUCUGCAUGUCUGUUAAUGGAUCUGCUGCUUGAGAGUUGAAUGUGAAUAAUUAUUUUCUUUUGGAACUUAAAUCAUAAAUAAAUUUUCACGUUAUUUUAUUUAGUUACAAAUUCUUCCCAGUAAGAUUAAUAGUAAGAGUUGAUUUCCUAUAGAUUUGAUUUUAAUUUGCUUGUAGGUUAACUUAGAUCGAGCACUGAUUCAAAGAUCUGCUUAAUUUAGAAGCUUUCUCAUUGAUGUCGAAAAUGAGGAUGCCCACUUUGUACUGGGCUUCCAUUUUGGUUUUUCUUUUUGUCCAUGCUUGCAAUGCGUUUUAUCUGCCUGGUAGCUAUAUGCACACAUAUUCAACCGGUGAACCGAUAUUUUCCAAAGUUAAUUCAUUAACUUCUAUUGAAACCGAGCUUCCAUUUAGUUACUAUAGUCUACCUUAUUGCAAGCCAACAAGUGGAAUAAAAAAAAGUGCUGAGAAUCUCGGGGAACUCCUUAUGGGAGAUCAGAUUGAUAACUCUCCUUACCGGUUUAGAAUGAAUAUCAAUGAGUCUGUCUUCCUUUGUACUACACCUACAUUAAGUGAGCAUGAGGUAAAGCUUUUGAAGCAGAGAACCCGUGAUCUGUAUCAAGUGAAUAUGAUUUUAGAUAAUUUACCCGCCAUGAGGUAUGCAAAGCAAAAUGGAGUUAACAUUCAGUGGACUGGGUUCCCAGUCGGGUAUACACCACAGAAUAGCAAUGAUGAUUACAUCAUCAAUCACCUUAAGUUCACAGUUUUGGUUCAUGAGUAUGAAGGGAGUGGUGUGGAGAUAAUUGGUACUGGGGAAGAAGGUAUGGGUGUGAUUUCUGAAGCCGAUAAGAAGAAGGCAUCUGGUUAUGAGAUAGUUGGUUUUGAGGUUGUCCCAUGCAGUGUUAAAUAUGAUCCUGAAGUGAUGUCUAAGCUUCAUAUGUACGACAAUAUCUCAUCUGUCAACUGCCCCUUGGACCUUGACAAGUCUCAGAUCAUAAGGGAGCACGAGAGGGUUUCUUUCACUUAUGAGGUUGAAUUUGUGAAAAGUGAUAUUAGAUGGCCAUCUCGUUGGGAUGCUUAUUUGAAGAUGGAAGGUGCUCGUGUCCAUUGGUUCUCUAUUCUAAAUUCUCUUAUGGUGAUCUUUUUCCUAGCUGGCAUUGUUUUUGUCAUUUUCUUAAGGACUGUGAGAAGGGAUUUGACGAGAUAUGAGGAAUUGGACAAAGAAGCUCAAGCGCAGAUGAAUGAGGAGCUUUCGGGGUGGAAGCUUGUUGUUGGUGACGUGUUCAGGGAACCAGAUUGCUCCAAGCUUCUUUGUGUCAUGGUUGGUGAUGGAGUUCAGAUUACGGGGAUGGCAGUGGUCACAAUUGUUUUUGCAGCCCUUGGUUUCAUGUCACCAGCUUCACGAGGAAUGCUGCUGACAGGAAUGAUAAUCCUUUAUCUUUUCUUGGGUAUUGCUGCAGGCUAUGUUUCAGUACGUUUGUGGAGAAUCCUGAAGGGAACCUCAGAAGGAUGGAGGUCAGUUUCCUGGUCAUCUGCAUGCUUCUUCCCUGGAAUUGCUUUUGUUAUCCUCACGGUGUUGAAUUUCAUUCUGUGGGGAAGCAAGAGUACUGGUGCUAUUCCAAUUUCCUUGUAUUUUGUACUUCUGGCCCUGUGGUUCUGUAUUUCAGUGCCACUCACCCUCUUGGGAGGAUUCUUUGGGACACGAGCUGAGGCAAUUGAGUAUCCAGUCCGAACCAACCAGAUCCCAAGGGAAAUUCCGGCUCGCAAAUACCCAUCAUGGCUUCUUGUUCUUGGUGCUGGAACUCUUCCAUUUGGAACCCUUUUCAUCGAGCUGUUCUUCAUCCUUUCUAGCAUCUGGCUUGGACGGUUUUAUUAUGUCUUUGGUUUCUUGCUCAUAGUUCUUCUGCUGUUGGUUAUUGUUUGUGCUGAAGUGUCAGUGGUUCUAACUUACAUGCAUCUCUGUGUGGAGGACUGGCGUUGGUGGUGGAAGGCAUUCUUUGCUUCCGGUUCUGUUGCUCUCUAUGUGUUCUUAUACUCCAUCAAUUAUUUGGUUUUUGACCUGCAGAGUUUGAGUGGACCUGUGUCAGCUAUACUCUAUCUCGGCUACUCACUGCUCAUGGCAAUUGCAAUCAUGUUGUCUACUGGCACAAUUGGCUUCCUUAUGUCCUUCUACUUUGUGCAUUACCUUUUCUCAUCUGUAAAGAUUGAUUAGAAGCCAUGAACAUCUUCAGCAAUCAGUUGAGAAGGAAAACUACUCGCUCACAAUGCACAUUGUUUUUUGCAUUUGCUAAAUUUUUUAUGAUAGCUGAUCUUGUUGUGCUGUAUUAAAGACUCUCAGAUUAUAUGCUAAAAAUGCAUCAAGGCGUGUUAAAUUUUCUAUGCUUUUGAGUUUAGGACAUGACAUUAGUUUUCAGCUUCACUCGAAAUUAUAGAAACUGGUGGCCCUUCUGUUAUGUAUUAUUUUUUGUUAUUUCUUCCAUUUUAUCAUUGAAAAAAAGAAACAGUUAAUUGACAUUUUUUCCCUCAAUCAUUCAAUGCUGUCAACAUUACUGAUUCAUUGUUGGCAUAUAUUGUGUAGUUGCCAAGAUGAUGUAACGAGCAUUUGAGGUGAUUAGAUUAAAGGCCAACAUUUUUAUUCCUGAA
rnacentral:misc_RNA from 1 species